GAUGUGAUGUAGCAAGAUGAGCAACAAAAGAAGAAUCCCAAGAUAAUCACGUAAUUAUGUUAGGAGAGAUUCUCAGUUCAAUCUAAUCCUGUCUAAACAGGCUGAAAGAAAUUAGUCACUCAGAAUUAUAUAAAAGGCUCUAUUGAGUCUUGCAAUGGUAAACAACAGACCCUGGAGUUUGAGGACAACACCAAGGUACUGCCAUACUUGAGGUGGAGAUGGCGUUUCUCAGGAUCAAUUCAACAAGAAGAGCUAACUAUCCUAAAUAUAUAUGCACCCAAUACAGGAGCACCCAGAUUCAUAAAGCAAGUCUUUAGUGACCUACAAAGAGACUUAGACUCCCAUACAAUAAUAAUGGGAGACUUCAACACCCCACUGUCAAUGUUAGACAGAUCAACAAGACAGAAAAUUAGCAAAGAUAUCCAGGAAUUGAACUCGGCUCUGCACCAAGCGGACCUAAUAAACGUU
ensembl:lncRNA novel transcript